rnacentral:rRNA from 1 species
GGGGAGCAAUCCCUGAGUACAGCGGCGUACGGGUGAGUAACACGUGGAUGAUCUACCUUCUAGUGGGGAAUAACCCUGGGAAACCGGGGCUAAUACCGCAUAAGCCUGUGAAGGGAAAGCAGCAAUGCGCUGGAAGAGGAGUCCGCGGCCGAUUAGCUAGUUGGUGAGGUAAUGGCCCACCAAGGCGACGAUCGGUAGCCGGCCUGAGAGGGCACACGGCCACACUGGCACUGAAACACGGGCCAGACUCCUACGGGAGGCAGCAGUGGGGAAUCUUGCACAAUGGAGGCAACUCUGAUGCAGCGACGCCGCGUGAGCGAUGAAGCCCUUCGGGGUGUAAAGCUCUUUCGGCAGGAACGAUAAUGACGGUACCUGAAGAAGAAGCUGCGGCUAACUACGUGCCAGCAGCCGCGGUAAUACGUAGGCAGCGAGCGUUGUUCGGAAUUACUGGGCGUAAAGAGUGUGUAGGCGGUGCUCUAAGUUCGGUGUGAAAUCUCCCGGCUUAACUGGGAGGGUGCGCCGGAAACUGGAGUGCUCGAGCGUGGGAGAGGAAAGCGGAAUUCCUGGUGUAGCGGUGAAAUGCGUAGAUAUCAGGAGGAACACCUGCGGUGUAGACGGCUUUCUGGACCAUUGCUGACGCUGAGACACGAAAGCGUGGGUAGCAAACAGGAUUAGAUACCCUGGUAGUCCACGCCCUAAACGAUGCAUACUUGGUGUCGGCCAUUCAGUUGGUCGGUGCCGGAGCUAACGCGUUAAGUAUGCCGCCUGGGGAGUACGGUCGCAAGGCUGAAACUC